AUUGAACGCUGGCGGCAUGCUUUACACAUGCAAGUCGAACGGCAGCACGGACUUCGGUCUGGUGGCGAGUGGCGAACGGGUGAGUAAUACAUCGGAACGUGCCCAGUCGUGGGGGAUAACGUAGCGAAAGCUACGCUAAUACCGCAUACGAUCUAAGGAUGAAAGCGGGGGAUCGCAAGACCUCGCGCGAUGGGAGCGGCAGAGGUCAGAUUAGGUAGUUAGUGGGGUAAAGGCUCACCAAGCCGACGAUCUGUAGCUGGUCUGAGAGCAGGACCAGCCACACUGGGACUGAGACACGGCCCAGACUCCUACGGGAGGCAGCAGUGGGGAAUUUUGGACAAUGGGCGCAAGCCUGAUCCAGCCAUUCCGCGUGCAGGAUGAAGGCCCUCGGGUUGUAAACUGCUUUUGUACGGAACGAAAAGGCUCUGGUUAAUACCUGGGGCUCAUGACGGUACCGUAAGAAUAAGCACCGGCUAACUACGUGCCAGCCGCCGCGGUAA
rnacentral:rRNA from 1 species